AUUGAACGCUGGCGGCAGGCUUAACACAUGCAAGUCGAGCGGAGAUGAGGUGCUUGCACCUUAUCUUAGCGGCGGACGGGUGAGUAAUGCUUAGGAAUCUGCCUAUUAGUGGGGGACAACAUUCCGAAAGGAAUGCUAAUACCGCAUACGUCCUACGGGAGAAAGCAGGGGAUCUUCGGACCUUGCGCUAAUAGAUGAGCCUAAGUCGGAUUAGCUAGUUGGUGGGGUAAAGGCCUACCAAGGCGACGAUCUGUAGCGGGUCUGAGAGGAUGAUCCGCCACACUGGGACUGAGACACGUCCCAGACGCCUUCGGGAGGCAGCAGUGGGGAAUAUUGGACAAAGGGGGGAACCCUGAUCCAGCCAUGCCGCGUGUGUGAAGAAGGCCUUAUGGUUGUAAAGCACUUUAAGCGAGGAGGAGGCUACUGAGACUAAUACUCUUGGAUAGUGGACGUUACUCGCAGAAUAAGCACCGGCUAACUCUGUGCCAGCCGCCGCCGUAAUAC
rnacentral:rRNA from 1 species